UGGCCUGUAGCUUAGCGUGCAGAGCACCGGACUCAUAAUCCGAGAGGCGUCGGCGCAAAUCCGACCGGGCCAACCA
rnacentral:tRNA from 1 species